rnacentral:rRNA from 1 species
AUUGAACGCUGGCGGCAUGCCUUACACAUGCAAGUCGAGCGGAGAUGAGGUGCUUGCACCUUAUCUUAGCGGCGGACGGGUGAGUAAUGCUUAGGAAUCUGCCUAUUAGUGGGGGACAACAUUCCGAAAGGAAUGCUAAUACCGCAUACGCCCUACGGGGGAAAGCAGGGGAUCUUCGGACCUUGCGCUAAUAGAUGAGCCUAAGUCGGAUUAGCUAGUUGGUGGGGUAAAGGCCUACCAAGGCGACGAUCUGUAGCGGGUCUGAGAGGAUGAUCCGCCACACUGGGACUGAGACACGGCCCAGAAUCCUACGGGAGGCAGCAGUGGGGAAUAUUGGACAAUGGGCGGAAGCCUGAUCCAGCCAUGCCGCGUGUGUGAAGAAGGCCUUUUGGUUGUAAAGCACUUUAAGCGAGGAGGAGGCUUCCUGGAUUAAUACUCUAGGAUAGUGGACGUUACUCGCAGAAUAAGCACCGGCUAACUCUGUGCCAGCCGCCGCCGUAAUAC